UUAUAUAAGUCAGCUAAUUAAGCUAAUGGGUUCAUACCUCAUAAAUAAAAUAUUAGUAUUU
rnacentral:tRNA from 1 species